AUGGCCGGGCAGGUACUCUUUGACGGCCGGGCCUGCUCCAAGGCCUUCGACAUGGGACACGCUGGCAGCCCGGGCUGCAUCUACUUCCUCGACGACGUCUACCCUGGUGGUCCGCACAGUGUCCUCCAGCUGAACGAGUAUCCCUGCGCCGAUGCCGGCGGAUGGCGUUACUCAAUCUCCAAUGAGAUCGAGCGUUGCCUGCCAUGGUCUCCCCCUUCCGACACCUCGCCGUGCAUUUGGUACCACCACUAA
rnacentral:rRNA from 1 species